CUCUUAUCUUCCUCCAUCACCUGAGCUGUUGCAGUUCACUGUGGAUUAAGAAUCGCCCACCAGAGGGGAGAAGUUGGAACAGGUUGUGUUUUCUGACUCUAGACAUGCACAAGUCCUGAAUGGAGGGCAGGCCGGCACCAAUGAUUCUCUGCAGUCCUGACAAUCCAGAGAGACUCAACCUUCCUGCAGUACAUCCAUGUUUUCCUUGACAUAAAAUGAGAAAUUCUUCCACCUAGUCAGAGGGCUGACUGACAAGAUGGAGAGCA